UUAAAUGAAACUGGCAGCGCCCAGCGAUCUCAAAAAAAAGAACAUCUCACGGCGUCUCGAAGUCUGUUUGAGCAUGUUCCGACCUUCCAGAGCAGCGGGAAGAGAGCAACUGGGAAAAGAUGGGAAAAAAGUUUUGUGUUCUCGGGCGAGGAUUUUCUCAGGAGAAAAAACUAGGAUCGCUCACAGCGCAGGUGGACUGGCGAGAAGCCCUGAACACAUUUCCUUAUCGUUCGUUUAGAAUGGAUUUCGUAUCUUUUCACCAGAAUUUCUCACUCCGAAGUCUAAAUUGGACAAGGAAAGCCGCUGUUAGGCUAAGAUUUGAACCUUGACUCCAGGAAAUCUCGUCGUUUCAUUCCAAGCUCUGCCAGAAGAAGGAGGAAGGCCAAGGAUUCCGGUGUCCGAGGAGAGCAGGGAUCCCUGACCCACCUCCACCCAGGCCUUUGAGACACUUGCAGAUCUUAAGUCAAGGCUAGACUAUAGUGAAUAUGCCUUGUUUGGUUAGAUUGAGUUGGAAACCACAUUCAUUUUUUAUCAUUAUCAAAUUAAAUUAAUCUUUUAAAUGUCACUUCUAGACAUUGAAAACACAAUGUAACAAAUGAACCUGUGUAUGCCUUUUGUGGAACAAGCAUAUGGAUAAGAACUCUCCGAAAAGACCAUAAAACACAAUAAUUUAUAUAUACCCCAGGACUGUGACAAAAUUUUUAAAACUGCUUUUCUCAGUUGUGUUAUUAUUGGCAUUGUUGGUAGUUCUUUAUUCUUUUGUCUGUAUAAUGCGGGAGAAAACAAAGGAGACUGUAAAAGAUAUUGUAUUUCUAUUACGCCCAGUGUACUUAAAAACAAAAAUACUGGUAUUAGAGAAAAGAGAUUCAGAUGAAAGAUAGACGUUCAAUAAAAAGCCUGUAGUUCUGAA